rnacentral:rRNA from 1 species
UACGGAGGGGGCUAGCGUUGUUCGGAAUUAUUGGGCGUAAAGGGCGCGUAGGCGGCCAGGCAAGUGGAAGGUGAAAUCCCUCGGCUUAACCGAGGAACUGCCCUCCAAACUGCUUGGCUUGAGACCGGGAGAGGUGAGUGGAAUUCCCAGUGUAGCGGUGAAAUGCGUAGAUAUUGGGAGGAACACCAGUGGCGAAGGCGGCUCACUGGACCGGUACUGACGCUGAUGCGCGAAAGCGUGGGGAGCAAACGGG